rnacentral:rRNA from 1 species
UACGGAGGGGGCUAGCGUUGUUCGGAAUUACUGGGCGUAAAGCGUACGUAGGCGGCCACUGCAAGUCGGGUGUGAAAGCCCUGGGCUCAACCUAGGAAGUGCACUCGAAACUGCGGGGCUUGAAGUCUGGAGAGGAAGGCGGAAUUCUCGGUGUAGAGGUGAAAUUCGUAGAUAUCGAGAGGAACACCUGCGGCGAAGGCGGGUUGCUGGGCUGAUACUGACGCUGAGGCGCGAAAGCCAGGGGAGCGAACGGG